rnacentral:rRNA from 1 species
AACGAACGCUGGCGGCAGGCUUAACACAUGCAAGUCGAACGCCCCGCAAGGGGAGUGGCAGACGGGUGAGUAACGCGUGGGAAUCUACCCAAUUCUACGGAAUAACCCAGGGAAACUUGGACUAAUACCGUAUACGCCCUACGGGGGAAAGAUUUAUCGGAAUUGGAUGAGCCCGCGUAAGAUUAGCUAGUUGGUGGGGUAAUGGCCUACCAAGGCGACGAUCUUUAGCUGAUCUGAGAGGAUGAUCAGCCACACUGGGACUGAGACACGGCCCAGACUCCUACGGGAGGCAGCAGUGGGGAAUAUUGGACAAUGGGCGCAAGCCUGAUCCAGCCAUGCCGCGUGAGUGAUGAAGGCCUUAGGGUUGUAAAGCUCUUUCAGUGGGGAAGAUAAUGACGGUACCCACAGAAGAAGCCCCGGCUAACUUCGUGCCAGCAGCCGCCGCGG